rnacentral:rRNA from 1 species
GAUGAACGCUGGCGGCGUGCUUAACACAUGCAAGUCGAACGAAGCACUUAAGUUUGAUUCUUCGGAUGAAGACUUUUGUGACUGAGUGGCGGACGGGUGAGUAACGCGUGGGUAACCUGCCUCAUACAGGGGGAUAACAGUUAGAAAUGGCUGCUAAUACCGCAUAAGACCACAGCACCGCAUGGUGCAGGGGUAAAAACUCCGGUGGUAUGAGAUGGACCCGCGUCUGAUUAGCUGGUUGGUGGGGUAACGGCCUACCAAGGCGACGAUCAGUAGCCGACCUGAGAGGGUGACCGGCCACAUUGGGACUGAGACACGGCCCAAACUCCUACGGGAGGCAGCAGUGGGGAAUAUUGCACAAUGGGGGAAACCCUGAUGCAGCGACGCCGCGUGAAGGAUGAAGUAUUUCGGUAUGUAAACUUCUAUCAGCAGGGAAGAAAAUGACGGUACCUGACUAAGAAGCCC